rfam:Pan troglodytes isolate Yerkes chimp pedigree #C0471 (Clint) chromosome X, whole genome shotgun sequence.
UCUUUAGUAUAACUAUGUCCUAUGCAAUAUUUGGGACAUAAUUAUACUAAAA